rnacentral:rRNA from 1 species
ACUUAAAUUGAAGAGUUUGAUCAUGGCUCAGAUUGAACGCUGGCGGCAGGCCUAACACAUGCAAGUCGAGCGGUAGCACAGAGAGCUUGCUCUCGGGUGACGAGCGGCGGACGGGUGAGUAAUGUCUGGGAAACUGCCU